rnacentral:rRNA from 1 species
UACAGAGGGUGCGAGCGUUGUCCGGAAUCACUGGGCGUAAAGGGCGCGUAGGCGGUCCGCUAAGCGUGCGGUGAAAGCUCGGGGCUCAACCCCGAGUCGGCCGUGCGAACUGGUGGACUGGAGCAUGUCAGAGGCAGGCGGAAUUCCGGGUGUAGCGGUGGAAUGCGUAGAGAUCCGGAAGAACGACCGGUGGCGAAGGCGGCCUGCUGGGACAUUGCUGACGCUGAGGCGCGACAGCGUGGGGAGCAAACAGG